GACAAAAUGAAGAAUUGCACUUCCAAUUGAAAACAUCUUCAACGUACCUUUCUAUAAUUAAUUCAAUACAAAACGUAUCAUUCACACAAAGUGUAAAACUUAAAUUUUCUACUGUAAAGGCAACUCAAGC
rnacentral:sRNA from 1 species